rnacentral:lncRNA from 1 species
UCUUGGGCAGCCCGCGGCCCUUGCCCAUGCGGGACUUGCGGUCGUGGGCCCUGCCCUUGGGGCUGCCGGGCUCGGGGCCGGGCUCGGCGCCCUCGGACAGCGACUCUCGGGCCGAGUCCCGGGACGAGGCGCGCCGCAGCCGCCGCUUGGCCUUGGCCUUGAGGCGCGCCUCGUGCAGCUGCUUCUCGCGGGGGGCCCAGGGCAGCGCCCCCCCGGCCCCCGCCAGCUCCUCGGCCCCGUCCUCCGCGGCGCCCGCCGGGCACGGGCCCUGCGCAGCACCGGCACCGUCACCGCGCGCCCCGCCGGGACCCGGCGCCCCCGCCCCGCCCCGCCCCGGUCCGGUCCCGGUCCCGGUGCCGGUGCCGGUGCCGGUCUCGGUCCCGGUACUUGCCGUGGCGAAGGGGGCGCGGUCGGCGGCGCCCAGCUCGGCCGCGCUGGUGGCGGACAUCGCGGCGGGGCCGGGCCCGAGGCGGCACCGGGACGGGGACCGGGACCGGGACCGGGAUGGGGACGGGGACCGGGACGGGGAAGGGGCGCUGGGCUCGGCCCGACCCCGCCCCGCCCCGCCGCGCGGAGGAAGUGACCGGGGGCGGCGGCGGCGGCGGCGGCAUGAUGGGAGCCGUAGUCCCGCCGGCACCGGGCGCGGGGAGCACCGGGGGGCCGGGAGCCCCCGGUACCGGGCACGGCGGCACCAAGGCGGGGGGGGGAGAGGAGAAAGAGACGAGACGCGGGGGCACGGAGGGAUCCCGGGGGUGGGCAGCGGCGCGGUGCAGACCCCGACCCCCUCCUGGGGAACCCCCCCACACCCCGCACCGGCCCCGGGCAGCACCGGGCGAGCACGGCCAGAGCCGCACCGGGCUUGGGGGAGCCCCUCGGGCACAGCGGGACCGGGGCCGGGCUCAGCACACACCGGGUGUCCCCAUCGGACACCCCCACGGGCACGGGGAGGAUCCCACAGCCAGGGCAGGGGCUGCCCCCCCCCCCCCCCCCCCGGGUGCCCCCCCGGGCCCCCCCCCCACGGGGAAGGGGACAGAGGCCCGGAGCCCGGCUCUGCCCCGCGGGCACUUUAUUGCUGCUCAGCCCUCGGGGCUCUUGGCCAUGCAGGGCAGGCCGGGCACACGCCAGCGCCGGGCCCCGCGCAGCCGCAGCGACAGCCACUGCUGCUGGCUGCCCACCAGGUACGACUCCGGGGGGGCGCGCGGCCGGCCGGGAGCCUCGGUGCUGGGGGAGGCCGGGGGGGGCCCCGCCGCGGCCCCCGGCGCCUCCAGGGUCUCCAGGCUGUGCAGGCUGCUCGCACCCAGCUCCUGUGUGUGGGCACCGUUGUUGGAGCCUGGAUGGGGAGAGGAGAGGGGGUCACAGGAGGGAUGGGUCCUGCCCUGUGCCCCCCAUCCUGAGCUCCCCGACACUGGGAGGGGUGAGGAGCCUGAGCCAGGCACCACGGGAGCUGCAGGCUGGUGAUGAGGGCUCCAUCCCCGUCCCCGUCCCCGUCCCCAUCCCCAUCCCUAUUACCAUCCCCAUCCCCAUCCCCAUCCCCAUCCCAUCCC